CACUGUUUCGGCUAGGGGGCCAUCCCGGCUUACCAACCCGAUGCAAACUGCGAAUACCGGAGAAUGUUAUCACGGGAGACACACGGCGGGUGCUAACGUCCGUCGUGAAGAGGGAAACAACCCAGACCGCCAGCUAAGGUCCCAAAGUCAUGGUUAAGUGGGAAACGAUGUGGGAAGGCCCAGACAGCCAGGAUGUUGGCUUAGAAGCAGCCAUCAUUUAAAGAAAGCGUAAUAGCUCACUGGUCGAGUCGGCCUGCGCGGAAGAUGUAACGGGGCUAAACCAUGCACCGAAGCUGCGGCAGCGAACGUAUCACCCAAGACAACUUUACGGAGUUGACGAUUGACGGAGCGAAGCGACGUCAAAGCGUUCAUUAAAGUCGAGUUGGCUUAGGGAUACGUUCGUUGGGUAGGGGAGCGUUCUGUAAGCCUGUGAAGGUGUGUCGUGAGGCAUGCUGGAGGUAUCAGAAGUGCGAAUGCUGACAUAAGUAACGAUAAAGCGGGUGAAAAGCCCGCUCGCCGGAAGACCAAGGGUUCCUGUCCAACGUUAAUCGGGGCAGGGUGAGUCGACCCCUAAGGCGAGGCCGAAAGGCGUAGUCGAUGGGAAACGGGUUAAUAUUCCCGUACUUGGUGUUACUGCGAAGGGGGGACGGAGAAGGCUAUGUUGGCCGGGCGACGGUUGUCCCGGUUUAAGCGUGUAGGUGUGUGUUCCAGGUAAAUCCGGUU
rnacentral:rRNA from 1 species